rnacentral:rRNA from 1 species
GACGAACGCUGGCGGCGUGCCUAAUACAUGCAAGUCGAGCGAAGUUUUUCUGGUGCUUGCACUAGAAAAACUUAGCUGCGAACGGGUGAGUAACACGUAAAGAACCUGCCUCAUAGACUGGGACAACUAUUGGAAACGAUAGCUAAUACCGGAUAACAGUAUUUCUCGCAUGAGAGAUAUUUAAAAGUUGGUUAUGCUAACACUAUGCGAUGGCUUUGCGGUGCAUUAGCUAGUUGGUGGGGUAAAGGCCCACCAAGGCGACGAUGCAUAGCCGACCUGAGAGGGUGAUCGGCCACACUGGGACUGGGACACGGCCCAGACUCCUACGGGAGGCAGCAGUAGGGAAUCUUCCGCAAUGGGCGAAAGCCUGACGGAGCAACGCCGCGUGAGUGAAGAAGGAUUUCGGUUCGUAAAGCUCUGUUGUUAGGGAAGAAUGGAUAUGUAGUAACUAUACAUGUAAGAGACGGUACCUAACCAGAAAGCCACGGCUAACUACGUG